rnacentral:rRNA from 1 species
UACUCCUACGGGAGGCAGCAGUGGGGAAUAUUGCACAAUGGACGGAAGUCUGAUGCAGCAACGCCGCGUGCGGGAUGACGGCCUUCGGGUUGUAAACCGCUUUCACCAGGGGCGAAUUUGGACGGUACCUGGAGAAGAAGCACCGGCUAACUACGUGCCAGCAGCCGCGGUAAU